GCGGCUUGAAUAUGCCAACAGGGCUCCCAUUGUGGUUCGAAUAAGCCUACAGGGCCAAACUAGGAAACUAGGGACUCAAAAUAUUGUGUGGCUAAAACAAGCUCACCAAAUUAGGGUAAAUGACUAGACCAUAGCAAGGCGUGAAAGAUUGGAAGCCCCACUCCGAGUGCUCUACAGUUUCCAAAAAUCAUCAUUUGGUUAGGUUAGGGCAAACACAAUGCUUAAACAUGCAUUAUAAAUGUUCAAGGUGCGCUGGCAACAUUGUCCCUUUAAUAUAACUUUUUUCUUCUUUAUUUUCCUAGGUUCCCUUUGGUGGGGAUGCCCCUGUCCCGAAACAGAGAUGGUGUUCAUGAGUAAUGUUAGCACCACAAAGUAGCAAUGGCGCUGUAAUAAGUCUAUAAUAAACUGAUCUAUGUUUUAUUGUAGGUUCCCCCGACGAGGAUGGCGAUAACGACAGAGAUCUUCCAUGGUAAAAAGUGGCACCCUCUAGAGGGCUAUCCUAUUUUCCUGGGUUUUUAUUUUAGGUACCCACAACGGAGACGGUGAAGGUGAAGACCCUGGACGGUGACAGUGGCGUUCUCUAGUGGCCCUUCUCCCAUAUCCUGGGUAGGGGGCGAUUAGAUGAUGAAGGACCGAGGAGAAUCCCAGAUACCAGGACAGCCCGGAGGAACAGCAGGAGGAGCGACAAAGCCAACAGGUAGGUAUUUGCCCUUGAACUUGACUUUAACUUGCCUUUUCUCUCUUACUUAGGUUUCCAAGCGUUGGAUCCCCUACAAGGCUACAAGAAUAUGGCACCCCACUGUGGCAUCG